rnacentral:lncRNA from 1 species
AGAGUAGCAGACCCACGUCUUUUACCCCCACCCCACGCCCUGCAAGCCAGGCGUUUCCUGCGGGACGACCCAGGAUCGAGUUCCCCUUCUGUGCAAACUAGCCUUUGGGUUGGGAAGCUUCCGGUUCUGCAUCUGUGCGUGUUCCUUUUGAGCCACCGCCCAUGUUGCCAGGAAAGCAAAGUUUCUGCCAGGGCCGGUGGGGGGGCUUGGGCACAUCCCCCACCUUCCAAGGUUGAACCUGCCCAUCUCUAUGGCUGCAAUAGUACCUUUGGCCAGAAUUCCUCCAGGUCUGCAAAAAUGUCUUCUCUGGACCCAUCACACCUGCACUGCACUCUGGACCCAGCGUUGAGGUGUUUUGAUGAUGACAAUAUACACAUAGCACUUGGCAGAACACCUGGCACGUGGUCAGCGUCGAGUGGACGAUAGCAGUUCCCCUGGGAGACAGGGUGCCCUGUGCCUUGGCGGCCACAUCUGGCUCUUGGGUCUAGGCCAAGGGACUGACUGGGGCGUGGGGUGCCCCUGGGCUCUUAGGAUUGCAGCCCAAGCAUGCUGGUGGUCCAGGUCUCGGGUCAAACAGGUGGGAUGGAUGCAGCGCCCACCUUGCCGGCCACGCCCCAGGGGACUGCACUAGGCUCGGGGCCGGCGGACCAUCUGACACUCACGAGGCCGCCUUGAUUUUUUAGAUUUCCAGUGCAUGCUAAAAAGAGACUACUACUAAAGAUGCUGUCUUCUGUUUUUCUUUCCCAACAUGUUUCUUCCUCCCCUCCCCCACUAUGCUUGAAAGACGAACUGUCUGUCAUAUUUUCUCAAAGUUUUCUCCCUACUAACCUUGGAAAGAACGUGAAAGGCUCCCCCAGCAGCGCGGACGCCUCCAGGACGCACUGACGCAGCCCCGCCGCUGUGCCUUCCACUCCUGCAGCUUUGCUCGAGCCCUUGCGCCUGCCCGAGGCCAGCGAUCCCGAAGACUUCGAUCCCGAAGACUUCUCCCCGAGCGGCGCGGGGCUGCGGGCGGCGCGGAGGAGGCGCUGCUGCGCCCGCACCCGCUGGGCAGCGUCGGGCACCGCCCGCCCCCCGCUGUGCUCCCCGCGCUUCCGGCUGUGUCCCCGCCCCUCGGACGGAUGAUGCGCGGCGGAGGCGGCUUGUGGGCGCUUCGGUGCUGGGUGCUGGCUUGUUCAUCUCGUUUCUGUUCGUUCCCCGCUGGGGAGGUGGAAGUGGCCCCCGAGUCCUAACCUUGCAGGGGGCCUAGAUCCCAGCUGCAGAAGGUUGAGGGACGAUGAAAGCUUUCAAGAGGCUUUUGGUGCAUCUCAGCCUGGAGGUUGCCCGGGUUCCGGAAGAAGCUGGUCCCCGAGUUGGAGAGAGGAGCUGGGAGCUGGACCUGCGGUCAGUCAAGCAGCCGGUGUCACCCACCUUUCCAGGUCCGUGUCCUGACGCGGAAGAUGUGGGACAUUCUGGCUGUGGAGGCGGGAGGAAAUGCUUUGCGGAAAUGGCACAGGCCCUCCCUCCCAGGGGAGGCCCCCGCCUGGAUCUCAGUCUCCUGGCACACGGCUCCGCCCCGCACUUUCUUAGGGCAGAGCCCGCCGCCGCAGAGUCACACCUGCUUCCGGAACUUAGAUGUUUGGGUCUGUGCCCUUGGGGCUGGUGCCCUGGAAGGAUGUGGGAGUCGUUGGGGACCUCAGAGAGACCCCCUCCUACAAUGCCCAGAGAGCACGUGUUAGAGUCAUUGCAAGGCUGACCCGGCCGGUGGCGUGGGGGCUCGAGGCUCUGGUCUCCUGCUUCAGGGCGUCCCUGCAUCACCUCCCAGUGACAGUGGCUGGAGCCAGGCCUUGCUGACGGCCACUUCCUCCAAGAGGCUGUCCUCUGGUCUCUCCAUCUGCGACGGGCACCUGCUGUAUGUCCUGCGUGGGGCUGGGCUCCUUGGAGGACUCUAGAGAAGAGAAUGUGCUUGCUUGCCUUUGUGGCCCCUGUGGCGUUUGGGGAAGAGGGGUUCAAGCAGAGCUUGUGGACUUGUGGUUCUAAACACCUGUAGUUUCUUCCUGCUGGUUUUCCCCUGUUGGCCCAGGAGAAACGAUUUGGACUCAGCAGCAGACGUUGUCCAAGUGACCCUUUUUCAGGAUCUCUAAAAGCCGGUGCCAAAGGUCACCUCUUCUUCCUGCCUUCUCCUUUGGGGCCCCACGUCCCUCCGCCUCUUAGCUUGUGAACAGUCCUUGGGGGUGGGGGGGGGGACGUUUAGACAGCUGGAGCUGGGGGCGGAGAGGAGCCGUUUUUGUUUUUGUUUUGUUUGAAAGGAGCUUUUAGGAAACGCACGUGUCUGUGUUUGGGAUUCAGGGGGAAACGCGGGUGCGAGGCAUACGUCCUGUAACCAGGCUUCUGGGUUUCCCACCAACCCGCUCAAAUCCCUGCUUCUCUUCAUCCCUUCAUUGGCCACCUGUCCAGGUGACACCUGUCUGUCCAUCCCUGGGCAAGACUCGGGUCACUCUCCCCCUUUCCCGCUGUCUGGUUAGGCACUGCGUGUUCGUGUGUGUGUGUGUGUGUGUGUCUAUGUGUGUGUUGGAUGUAUUUUCAGACGGAGGGGCCCGCAGCUCUUGAGGAGAGCUCUUGUCAUAUUCUCGUCAUUUGUCCCACUUUCUGGCUCCUCCUCUGGCCAUUGGCACCGACUCUGAACUUUGGCUCUUGAGGCUGAUCCAAGUGGGGGCCGAAUGAAGGUGGGUUCGCCCUCGCCUCUGACGGCCCGCAUCCGUGCCCACACGGAGGAGGCCUGGUCUGACCCUGGUUUGGUUGGCAGGGACCUCGAUGGGGAGGGGAGACGCGGAGAGAGCAGAAGGCUGCAGACUGGAGCCAGGACGGGGCUUGGGAGGAGGGCGGUGUAGACCGGCGGGGGGUGUCUGAGCCGCGGUCGGUCGUGGGGCCUCUGCUGUGCUGGCCAUUGACUCUCACUCCCCUGACCCUCGUCAAAUGCUGGGACCGAUGUUGUUACCUUUGCCUGUUUGUUUUGGGCGGGCUCACCGCCUUCCUUCCUCUGUCCUGAGACUGCGCGCCAAGACCUUCCUUUCGGGGGAAAAGAAAGACUGAACCACGCCAAGGACGUUUUCAUUUCUAAUACUUGAAGUUUAUUUUUUUAUUAUUUUGAUAGCAGAUAUGCUAUUUAUUUAUUUAAUAUGUAUAAGGGAUCCUGAAAACGGAAAGCUGUAUAGAUGGGGUUUCGUUGUGGGUUGGCUUGGGGGCCUUUUACAUGUGACUUCCGACUCUGUGUGUUCUGUAUAAAUUUGUCUGAAUUAAUUACCUGGGAUGAAGCUGUGCCAGCUUUCAAACAGGGGAUGCCUAUUGGAAAUUUGUAUAUUUUGCAGUUGCCAGAACAAUAAAAUUCCUGGUUGAAAU